UACGAAGGGGGCUAGCGUUGUUCGGAAUCACUGGGCGUAAAGGGCGCGUAGGCGGCCGAUCAAGUCGGGGGUGAAAGCCUGUGGCUCAACCACAGAAUUGCCUUCGAUACUGCGGGUCUCGAGUCCGGGAGAGGUGAGUGGAAUUCCUAGUGUAGAGGUGAAAUUCGUAGAUAUUAGGAAGAACACCAGUGGCGAAGGCGGCUCACUGGCUCGGUACUGACGCUGAGGCGCGAAAGCGUGGGGAGCAAACAGG
rnacentral:rRNA from 1 species